AGUAAAAGUCGUAACAAGGUCUCCGUAGGUGAACCUGCGGAGGGAUCAUUACACAAAUAUGAAGGCGGGCUGGAACCUCUCGGGGUUACAGCCUUGCUGAAUUAUUCACCCUUGUCUUUUGCGUACUUCUUGUUUCCUUGGUGGGUUCGCCCACCACUAGGACAAACAUAAACCUUUUGUAAUUGCAAUCAGCGUCAGUAACAAAUUAAUAAUUACAACUUUCAACAACGGAUCUCUUGGUUCUGGCAUCGAUGAAGAACGCAGCGAAAUGCGAUAAGUAGUGUGAAUUGCAGAAUUCAGUGAAUCAUCGAAUCUUUGAACGCACAUUGCGCCCUUUGGUAUUCCAAAGGGCAUGCCUGUUCGAGCGUCAUUUGUACCCUCAAGCUUUGCUUGGUGUUGGGCGUCUUGUCUCUAGCUUUGCUGGAGACUCGCCUUAAAGUAAUUGGCAGCCGGCCUACUGGUUUCGGAGCGCAGCACAAGUCGCACUCUCUAUCAGCAAAGGUCUAGCAUCCAUUAAGCCUUUUUUCAACUUUUGACCUCGGAUCAGGUAGGGAUACCCGCUGAACUUAAG
rnacentral:rRNA from 1 species